AGAUUUCCAAUUCCUGAACUCCAUGGCUCCCUUGUAAACUGACCUAUGGUUCUGUGGCAUAGUCCUGGAGGUGCUGAAGUCCAGGCCAAGGGCCAUCAGACGUGAGAAAGGCAAGAGUAGGUAUAUCUGCUCAGCUCAGGCUAGCCUGGCAGUCCUCCUACACCAAUCUUGCACAUGAUGACAAGACCAACAACCCUUAGACUGCCCUCCACCCCUAUUAUUCUCAGUCUCCACCAUCUGACCUGCUCUUCUGUGCCCAGAUUUCUGACCCAGUCCCACAGGAGUCUACCCUGCUGCUCCAUUCCCACCUCCAAACUUUUGUGGGGGAGUCUCCCGCCCCCACUCAGCCUAGGAGACAGGUUUGGGCAUGGUGAGCCUUCUCUGAUAAUUCCACUCCAAAUGAAUUCCUCCUAUCUUAAGUCCCAAGUUCUGAGUCAAGUUAUCACCUCUCAAUUGUGUGCCUUAUGAGGCUAGUUUCUGCUCUUGGGGGUCAGGGGUUCUCCUGGGCUUCUCUCUGCCCUGGAGCUUGGGGCUUAUGCAUAGUCGGUAAACACCAUGACUUAUUCUAGUGAGCAACAGAGAGCCGAGCCAGUCCCUCCAAUGGCUGGUUUCCCUGCUUCUCCACUUGCUACUGAUGUGCAGCCCACCAGUGAGAUGGUCACCACAGCACAACUUUGCUGGCUCACGCAUGCUCAGGCCACCCCUUCCCGCAGCACAAACACACCCAUUCUACAACAGCAGCAGAUGAGGACACAAACUGACAUGUCUUGAGUGCCACAAGCUCAGUAUUACUAUCCUCAAUUUCAUAGAUGAGAAAACUGGCUCAGAGAGAAGCAAAAUAACGUGUCCAAAAGGGUCUGAACUAGAUAGACAAGCCGGAUGCCCCCUGGGCGGCAUGCUCUGCUUCCCACCACCAUGAUCUUGAAGCCUGUGAUCUGGUAACAGAAGAUAGAACCAUGGACUGGCAACAACUGAACAUGGAGUAAAGGAAGCCGCAGGCCCAACCCGAGCCCUUCUGCUCUAUAUCCCCCCUCUCCCUGGCACUCAUCACAGAAAUGGCAUGCCCUUGGAGGCAUCUCUCACCUCUCGCCUCCCAUAUCACCAAACUCAGGGGAUAGGAAGAAGGUCCAGCAUCCUCUGCUUAAGGACCAGAUAAGACUGGACAGAGGACGUGGAUCCCUUCCUCCUCCAGAAGACUCUGCUCCCUUGGGGGGAUGUAACAUUCCAGAAAGCAGAGGCUCAACCUUGCCCUGAGAGCGAAAAAUGUCCUGGUGCCAUGGUUGGACUGGCAGACUUUGGCCAACCCCUGAUUUUAUCAACUGAGGCACAGCGGGCUACAGUUCACACAGGAGAAAGCCAGGAUCGGAUUGGACACUUCUCACCCCUCCUAGUACCUCACCAGGGCUCCCCGGGGCCCUGCACUGAGCCUUCCUACCCCCUACCCUCUUCCUUCCUCCCCAGGCUCACUGUCAGCCCAAAGCAGGAGACACUAGAGAGCCACCCUCUAGCCACCGAAAGCAGCUCAUGUUGUUCCCCAAAGCCCAGGCAGACUCCUUGGGAAACGAGGACCCACAGGGACUCAGACUACCACCUACUCAAGGGUUAUAGCUCCUGAGGCAUAGCCCAUGCCAUCAUCCCAUGACAUCGGGCUUAGAGAAGAGCAGGCCCUCAGUUUCAUUUACCACUCUUUCUGCUCCCUAAGAGACAGGCCUUAAAGAAGAUAAAGUAUGCAGAGCGUUAGCACAGAACUUGGCACAGUGUAAGUGCUCAAUAAAUGGUUCCUCUCACCAUUAUCAUGACUCAUUAGGAUUUCCUGGCUGCCCAUUUCUCACCUCCCAGGCUCAUGUGAGGAGCUGUCUUUUCAUAAACUCAAGGCUCACUGAGGCUGGGAGACCAUUAAUGGAGUUCAGGGUUUCUGGGGCAGGAAAGUGAAACUGUAAGAGGGGAAAGGGGGCUGGAAGCGAGGCUGGACCUACAGCCAGGAGUCCUCUGAGGUGAGAAGGCCCCUGUGCCCUCUGCUAGCAGGAUGAGCCCAGCGCCUCCCCAGAAAAUCUCUCUGAAGACCCAAGGCUUGGCAGGGAGCCAGGGCAGGAGGCCUCUCAAAGAAGACGCUGGCUCUGAGCCAAGGCGCAUCCCAGAAGCUUCAGCUCGCCUAGAGCAGCACAAGCUUCAGGGAGGAGGGGCAGCCAGGGAGGGGCAACAGAGAGCUCUGGGCUAAAGGGAACCUGCUCAGAGUGCGUUUGGGCAUGAACUUGGGACACACAGCUUUCUUCCCAUGCCCUAUGGUUUCCACACACCUGGGGGACUAUGAAAUCACUGCAAGGACAGGGAUAGGGGCCUGGGGAGGUGAUCCACCCCCAGGACAACCCUCCUGUCACCUACAUCUGUGCCCAUACAAACUCCAUGGGGCACUGCUACACCUCCACCCAAAGACUUCUGGGGUUACCCACUGGCUCUGUUUCCCCCACCCUAGAUUCUGAAAAACAGUGUUGCCUGAAGAUUCACACUUUCUACCUUCAAGGACUGUGGGGUAACCCCCAUUUAAGGGGCUAUACUGGACACCCCUAAAAGCCUCUUUAGACCUGAGCCUCUCUAGUGGCCUCUGGCCUGGCAUUUCCAUGGCCUUCUAUACACAGAGCUCUCUGUAGCCAGGGACCUUCCAGGGAUAGAUCAGGAUUAGUUACUGAACAUUAGGGCUAAAAGAGGUCUUAAUUUUCUAGUCUUGACCAAUAAAAUAUGAGCAGCAUAUAUCCUUUUAAAUUUCUUAGAAGCCACAUUAAAAAGGAAGAAGAAAAAAAAAAAAAAA
rnacentral:lncRNA from 1 species